rnacentral:lncRNA from 1 species
ACGGACUUCGGCUUUGCUACGGGUGUGUGACGCCCGGAUAAUUAAGCUACAGUGAACCUCUGCUAAUGAUGCCACGUCACCUCGAUUAUAGUUGCUAAUCUCGAGUUAGUUCGAAACCGGUUCGAAUUCAAAUUCAAAAUCAAGCAAACAAUAAAAUAUUUUCAAAUAUUAAAAAUAAAAUGUUGUUAAUGUGACAAAUAAAUCAUGGAUGAUAUUGGUGGAGAAACAACAUCUUUUUAAAAUAAUUAAAUACCCUAAAGUGAUGACAACAGCAGCAAAAACAAUUAGUUAUACCCCUAUUAUAUUUUAUAAAAUACUAAACUACCUUAGCUAGGUUCCAAAGUUAUUGUGGCAGUGGUAUAAUUAGUGUUACUAUUUUAGGUACUAAAUGAAUAUUUUACAAAACUAAAACAAUUUGGGAAAUAAAAUUAAAUCAGAAAAGAAAAAUAAGAAAAAGGAUAAGGCUAAACAAAAAUUAAAACAAAAAGAGAGCCUCCUGGGCCACUUGGCCCAUCUAGCCAAAAGGGGCCAGCCCACCCCCUCGUCCCCUUCCUCUGCUACAGGGAGGCAGGGGGGGAUCGUGGCGCUCAUCCCCCCGGCCAUGGCCACCCGAGCCCUGCGUGGAAGCCAUCCACGACCUCCCCCUCAGUACAAAAAGCCCCCUCUCCCUCCUGCUAACCCUAGCUCCUCACUCCGCCGCCCCUCUCGUUCUCCCCCUCGCCUUUGCUUCCUCCCCGCGCACUGCCGAGCCGCCGUCGCCAUGGUUUUGCUCGCCGCCGCGGCUAACGUCGACCCCGCGCUCCGAGAUCCAGUCCAUGAGCUCCGUCUGCCUCCCCUACGUCGUCCACGUGCCCCCGUGCGAGCUCGGCGCCACGGCAGCGAGUGGAGCGGGACCUUCUUCAUCCUUCGGCCGCCACCGUUCGCCGCCUCGAUUCGCCGUCGUCACUCCGCCCCGGCUUAAGCCCAGCAGCACCUCGUCCUCACUUUGAGCGCGCGCUCCUUCUCCCCCUUUUCCCGGGCUUGAUUUCGAGCUCGCACGCGUAGUUGCGACAUGCCCGUACCCCCACCGCCGCCGAUGAGCUCCGCCGACGCGUCCAUGGCCGUCGUGGGCCUCGCCCGACCCCAGCACCGUUCUCCUGGUGCUCCCAGGAGCACGACGCACACUCGCACGCCUCACCUCUGCCCCGUAGCGCUGACGUUGCACCCCUCCCCGAACGCCACCGCUGCUCUUCGUCGCCGUUCCGGCCAGCUCCGGCUAACUCUGGCGACGCCACCGGUCCCAGUCGACGCGCCACCUCGCCAGCUUCCUGACGCACACGACCGCGCGACAAACCGAGGUCAGAGGCGACCGCACGGUCGUCGCCGGCGUACCCCGCCUCGCCGUUGUGAGCGCGCCGGUGCGCCGCUGACGUGGCACUUAGAUUAGCUACUAAUCACCCCCACUAACCCCACUGACACCUGGGCCCAAGGCCACUAACUUAAGCUAAAACAUUAGAUUAAAUAAAACUCCCCCUGAGUCACUUACAAGUGGGGCCAGGCGGCCACUUUGACUGGUCAAGGUGUACCAGUCAACUGCUGUCUGUACAGUUGACUGGUCCCACCAGUCAGCCCCUCUGGUGCACUCUGGGUGCAGUGCACCAUGUGCACCUAGCAAUUUCCCAUUUAAUUUUCGAAUUAAAAUAAAUCUGUAAUUUUAGAAAAUCAAUAAAACUUUGGAAAAUCAUAUAAAAUAAACCGUAAGUCAGAUAGAAAUAAUUUAUAUAUGAAAGUUUCUCAGAACGACGAGAAAAAUCCGGAUACGCAGUCCGUUCGUUCACCACACGUCCCUGGCAUAGCGAACAUGCAACAUUUUGCCUCCGGUCCGCCCGUCCAAAAACGCGAAACACCGGGAAUACUUUCCCGGAUGUGUGCCCCCUUCUCCAGUAGUACCUGAUACUGCGUUAGGUCACCUCUAGCACCGUGUAUUGCCAUGUUACGCUUUGUGAUGCUUUGAUUACUCUGUUAUUUAUUCUGUUCCCCCUCUGUUACUUCUUUCCGGUAGACCCUGAGACCGCUGCCGGUACCCCUGUGAUCGACUACAUCAACGACGAACCCUUCUUGCCAGAGCAACCAGGCAAGCCCCCCCCCUUGAUCACCAGAUAUUGCCUAUUCUUCUCUAUACUGCUUGCAUUAGAGUAGUGUAGCAUGUUACUGCUUUUCGAUAUCCUAUCCUGAUGCAUAGCCUAUCCUUGCUACUACUGUUGUUACCUUUACCUGCAAUCCUACAUGCUUAGUAUAGGAUGCUAGUUUUCCAUCAAUGGCCCUACAUUCUUGUCCGUCUGCUGUGCUAUACUAUCGGGCCGUGAUCACCUGGGCGGUGAUCACGGGUAUAUACUUAUAUACUAUAUACAUGACACAUGUGAUGACUAAAGUCGGGUCGGCUCGUAGGAGUACCCGCAAGUGGAUCUUGGUGGCGGAGCGACAGGGCAGGUUGAGACCGCCUAGGUGAGAGGUGGGCCUGGCCCUGGACGGCGUCCGCGGUUACUUCGACAUAACACGCAUAACGAGUUCUUGGUAUUUGAUCUGAGUCUGGCCAUUUGGUCUAUACGCACUAGCCAUCUACGCGGGAGUAGUUAUGGGUAUCCCGGCGUCGUGGUAUCAGCCGAAGCUCUUUUGACGUCAGCGACUGAGUGGCGCGCGCCGCAUUGGACCGUAAGCUCGCGCUUGUAUUAAGGGGGCUAGGUCUGCUUCCGGCCGCGUACGCAACAUGCAGGUGUGCAUAGGGCGAUGGGCCCAGACCCCUGCGCGCAUAGGGUUAGACCGGCGUGCUGACCUCUCUGUUGAGCCUAGGUGGGGCUGCGACGCGUUGAUCUUACGAGGCCGGGCAUGACCCAGAAAAGUGUGUCCGGCCAAAUGGGAUCGAGCGUGUUGGGUUAUGUGGUGCACCCCUGCAGGGAAGUUUAUCUAUUCAAAUAGCCGUGUCCCUCGGUAAAAGGACGACCCGGAGUUGUACCUUGACCUUAUGACAACUAGAACCGGAUACUGAAUAAAAUACACCCUUCCAAGUGCCAGAUACAACCCGGUGAUCGCUCUCUAACAGGGCGACGAGGAGGGGAUCGCCGGGUAGGAUUUAUGCUAUGCGAUGCUACUUGGAGGACUUCAAUCUACUCUCUUCUACAUGCUGCAAGAUGGAGAUGACCAGAAGCGUAGUCUUCGCAGGAUUAGCUAUCCCCCUCUUAUUCUGGCAUUCUGCAGUUCAGCCCACUGAUAUGCCCCUUUACACAUAUACCCAUGCAUAUGUAGUGUAGCUCCUUGCUUGUGAGUACUUUGGAUGAGUACUCACGGUUGCUUCUCUCCCUCUUUUCCCCCUUUCCUUUCUAUCUGGUUGUCGCAACCAGAUGCUGGAGUCCAGGAGCCAGACGCCACCGUCGACGACGACUCCUACGACACUGGAGGUGCCUACUACUACGUGCAGUCCGCUGACGACGACCAGGAGUAGUUAGGAGGAUCCCAGGCAGGAGGCCUGCGCCUCGUUCGAUCUCUAUCCUAGUUUGUGCUAGCCUUCUUAAGGCAGACUUGUUUAACUUAUGUCUGUACUCAGAUAUUGUUGCUUCCGCUGACUCGUCUGUGAUCGAGCACUUGUAUUCGAGCCCUCGAGGCCCCUGGCUUGUAUUAUGAUGCUUGUAUGACUUAUUUAUGUUUUAGAGUUGUGUUGUGAUAUCUUCCCGUGAGUCCCUGAUCUUGAUCGUACACAUUUGCGUGCAUGAUUAGUGUACGGUCAAAUCGGGGCAUCACAAGUUGGUAUCAGAGCCAACUACCUGUAGGAAUCCCCCUUUCCAACUCCUUGGCCGAAGUCGAGUCUAGUCAUUGAAAAACUUUUACUAACAUGGCUGUGUGGCUUACGGGCCCACGUCGCCAUUGGGUGGUAUUAGGAUCUUUUAUUCCUCGUCUAUACUCUGGGACUCUGACUCUCUUCUAUUCGGGUAAAUUGAUUUUGCUAAAAACAAAACUAACUUUAGGUUCUCGAAAAUACUAUCUCCCGGAGAGCCCCUUCAGUCCAGAUGAUCGCCGACUGCAUCAGAAGAUUUCGAAGAUACUCUCCGAUAUUCUCUCAAGAUCUUGUGCCCGUUGCCUUUGCAAUUCCCUACCACCAAAAUAUCCCUAUGGAUAAAUACUUACACCUGUCAUUCUUACUUUUAUUCCCAGUCGAUCUUGUUAAUACAAAAUACCCCGAGAAUACUUUGUGCCUACUGCCUUGCAGUUCUUUGCCACCUGAAUACCCCUACGAAUAAUUUCUCGCACUUAUCGAGUAUCCGCUCAUCCCCAAAUGAUUCAUGUAUUACACAAAGUCUUCGAAAUACCAUUCGAUCUUUCGAAAAUCCUCAGCAACCUAUUGCUCUUGAAAUUCUUGUUUGCUUGCAUUAUGGUUAAUCCCAUAAGUCUCGUAAUCUUAUUGGCAUCUCUUGUCAUUAUCAUUUUGAGACCGUUGAUUCAAUUUGUUGCGAAUGCUCGCAAUCCUCAAUCAGAUCCUAGUAUUCAUCCUUCCGGCUCAGACGUCAUUUUAAACGUGAGCUGGAUCUCGACCAAUCAAAUUUGCCAUCGAUUGUACCCCUAAGUCUACUCAACUUAUCCAUCCCUAAUCAGAGCGUUUGCUUCCGAUCCCUUGAAUUUGAAAUUAUAAUUCCUUUGCAUUGAGCUUUGAGUUAGUCAGUUGUUUCUAUAAUCUGAUCUCCUGGCAUUCUUUCUUCCUCUGGUUGAGUACUAAUGCUCACAUCAGAUCCCUUGUGGACCACCAGACCCUUUUGUCGGAUCUUAUCCGACAAUGUCCUUCAUAUUAAAUAAGCUUGUGAGCUUUUCCUCGGAUACAUGAUGCCUUUGGUAAAUUGUAUCCUCUGCUUUGUGAACCAUGCUCUACUUUCGAGCUUGUGUUAAUUACUCCAAAAAAAAUUGUGGUAUAUGUUCCUAAGAUGCCUCGAUGGGUUGAACCAAUGCCUUACCUAAUCUAUGUGAGCCCGAAAGAUUUCACAGGCCAUACUCAUCUGGUAUUUCACCAGGUAAAACUUUCGACAACUAAUGUCAUUAUCAAAUACGAGAGGCGAAUGGAAGGUUAUGCAUUGAAGAAGUGGGAGUCGACCUUGAACCUUUGUGUUCAUGCCCGUGGACACGAUGUAGAUCCUAUCAUGGAAGCUUCUCUUAUAUUAAUUACCCCCUUGUAAUAAGUUCAUCUGGUAUCCGUGGACGUGGUUCUGACCAUGUUUCUCCUUGAUUCCGUUUCUCGUGCAAGUUUGAGCACUUGUCUUCUGCAGGGCAAUACCCUAGUCCAACCUUUACCUUGAUCUGUCGUCGAGUAUUACCCCCUGGUAUCUCGAGAUUAUCAUGGAACUGCAUAACUUCUUAUGAGUUUUUCAUCAAGUGCUACAUUCUCACUGAUUCCAAUUUUCCACGGGCUCUGAGUUAUUAGUCACUCGAGAACACCGAUAAGCGAAUCGAUUCCGCACUCCGAUUCAAUAACUCUAAGAAAUUCUUGUUGCUUACGAGUUUAAUAAUCCUUCAAGUCAUUCCUAGCCUUAUCGGCUAUAUCAUUAUCAUGCAAACUUUUUAACUGUGCUACCCGGACCUUCCCAGCACACAAAUUUCGACAGUGAGCUAAUCUUGCGUCGAUCUUCCUCGUCAUAUCACUUCUCCUUGAACUGCAAACUUGAUUUCGAGUUUGUGUCCUAACCGUGGUUCCAAUAACCUUUCGCUUUCAUCAUUCCUUUGACUUGAUGUCAUCGUCGAUCAAUUACAUCUUCUUGAAAACCUCUCGACAAACUUGUCGUGAUCAUUGUCAACAAUUUGAAUUCUUCCAAGUUGUGUGUUGAAAUUCAGGAUGAGAAAUACCAUCCUUGCCCCUCGAUGAAUUGUGUUAUCAUCGACAACAUUCUUGCCUCCCCCCAACACAAACUUGUUCAUAUUUUGUGUUGUAUCUUGAUUUCCCUGCUAUCCAACUUAUGUUAUGUUCUACCGUGGAGUAUUACCAUCUUUGAUGUCAAGAAUGUCGUGAGCAUUACUCCACCUCUUAAGAAUUCUUGGUACAGUGAUACUUCUCGCCAUCACCAUUCUUUCUGGGUCCCCGUGUUGUUUCUAAACGAAAUACCGACAAAUGGUCUGUGAUGUGUAAAUUCUAAACUUCUAGCAACCCUAUUGCUUUGAAGUUAUUGGUCUAUAGUUUCAUUCUACGUCUAUGGCUUAAUGAAUCAUCAUUCGAACAUUGAUCGUGCUACCUAGCCCAUAUUUCGGGUGCACAUUUCAACCAAUGUUUAACUGUGUAUGUUUUCCUCGAGCAUACAUCAUUAAGUCAUUCGAUCUAGUUAGUGUUAUCUCCUUGUUCAUAUAGUUGUGGAAAUCCAUCUUUUGGAAAUCUCAAUGGAUUAUCGCUGAGUCAAUCAGUCACCUCCUCAUCCUCUCGUUGGUUUACUGAUGGACUCUUGUUUCAGAACUCGCUUCCAUAGUUCAUUUCCCGAGAAUCUUACAAUGUCAUCUCGUCAAAUGGUGCCGCACCUUUUCUUCUCAGGCAUCCUAAGUCUGAGGUAUCCUGACACCAAUCAGAACUGAAUCUCGGUCAGAUACGAUGGUUGGAACAUAUUUCCAAGAGUUAUAAAAUUGGUCUUUAUAUGACCCGGUAAGGUGAUGUCAUGCCUAGCACGCCUGGCCGGGGGACCUAUUGUUAUAGUUUCCUUUUUGACAAGGUUAGUCAUUCUUCCAUGAGGAAAUUGUAAGACUUAUUCUAUAGGUUGUUCCUGAUGGAUUCUUUUUGUUUCCAAAGUCUGAUCUUCACCUGUUGACCAUGUCAAUGCUAUCUCGAAGCAUGUCUAUGGUACUCCAAUUUUCAACAGGAACAUUUGAAGCCCAAUGCUAAAUGUUUCCUGCUCAAUUAUCCAAACACCGCUGUUUGGGUAAUGUCAUGAACUUCCUCCCCCCUAACCUAGAUGGUUUUCUACAUUAUAUCCUAUCAUGGAUAUCAUGCUCUGCUGGUCCUUGGGAAGGAAAUACCCCUGAAAUAUGUGUUUUAACAUAUUUUCCUUUCCAUUGUUCUGUUUAAUCUGAUGAUGAUAUUUUCCUUUCCAUUGUUUUGUUUAACCCUUCUUGAGUUCUAUAUGAGCUAAGGAGAAAUAUUCUCCUGCUUAUGUAAACACCUCGGUGUACAAUUCUGACAGCAAGACCCUGUUACUAUUGUUGAUGACAUCCCGGUAGCCACCGAUGGACGAGAACUUUGCCUAAUGGUCCGCCUCAUUUCAACGAGCAGGAAAAUGGUUCUCUUCGUCCCUCGCCCUUGGUACCAACGUGUUGCCGACAUAACUGACAGGGUACUCUCUGACAUGCCUUGCUAUCAUGACCGUGCAACAUGUCACUCCUUCAAAAAAAACCCCCACAUGGUGGGCCCAUAACCCACAGUUCCACAGGAUCGAAACCUGACUCUCUUGUACACCCCCUGUUCCCAAGGUUAUUCCUCACGCUUGGCUUCGUAUGUAAUUCACGUGCCACCUUUCGUGAGAUCAUCAAUUUUGGUAUCAGACACAAUACUUAGUCCCGUUGCUCAGAACCCUUCAGGCAUCGAACGAUUGCCUACCCGCUCGAAACUUCCCCACGAUACCUCCUUACAUUGCUCUCGAUAUUGUCUUAAAUUUCCAUUCGAGAGUUACUUUCCGCCACCUUCCUCGAUGUUAUCAACCAGAUAGUCAACCGUUCAGAGGUCUGUUAUUCCGAAGUUACCCCUUGUCCUUCGUAAGUACGAUGGAGUUCCCGAAGAAAGGAUGCCAGCUUCAUCAUGAUGACCUGAAGCAGGAAAAUGAAGACAUCAACGUAAUAGAUCAACCGCUUCGAGAAGAGCAACCAAGAUAGAGAACGCUCGUUAGAAUUUCGUGACCAAAUCCCUUUCCCGUCACUUCCCCUCUUAAAUCUCGGGACGAGAUUUCUUGUAGUGGAGGAGAAUUGUGACGCCCGGAUAAUUAAGCUACAGUGAACCUCUGCUAAUGAUGCCACGUCACCUCGAUUAUAGUUGCUAAUCUCGAGUUAGUUCGAAACCGGUUCGAAUUCAAAUUCAAAAUCAAGCAAACAAUAAAAUAUUUUCAAAUAUUAAAAAUAAAAUGUUGUUAAUGUGACAAAUAAAUCAUGGAUGAUAUUGGUGGAGAAACAACAUCUUUUUAAAAUAAUUAAAUACCCUAAAGUGAUGACAACAACAGCAAAAACAAUUAGUUAUACCCCUAUUAUAUUUUAUAAAAUACUAAACUACCUUAGCUAGGUCCCAAAGUUAUUGUGGCAGUGGUAUAAUUAAUGUUACUAUUUUAGGUACUAAAUGAAUAUUUUACAAAACUAAAACAAUUUGGGAAAUAAAAUUAAAUCAGAAAAGAAAAAUAAGAAAAAG